rnacentral:rRNA from 1 species
AGGGAAUUGGAUACGCUCUAUAGCCCUUUGUGACAUACCUAUAACUGUUGCUUCGGCGGGUAGGGUCUCCGUGACCCUCCCGGCCUCCCGCCCCCGGGCGGGUCGGCGCCCGCCGGAGGAUAACCAAACUCUGAUUUAACGACGUUUCUUCUGAGUGGUACAAGCAAAUAAUCAAAACUUUUAACAACGGAUCUCUUGGUUCUGGCAUCGAUGAAGAACGCAGCGAAAUGCGAUAAGUAAUGUGAAUUGCAGAAUUCAGUGAAUCAUCGAAUCUUUGAACGCACAUUGCGCCCGCCAGCAUUCUGGCGGGCAUGCCUGUUCGAGCGUCAUUUCAACCCUCAAGCUCUGCUUGGUGUUGGGGCCCUACAGCUGAUGUAGGCCCUCAAAGGUAGUGGCGGACCCUCCCGGAGCCUCCUUUGCGUAGUAACUUUACGUCUCGCACUGGGAUCCGGAGGGACUCUUGCCGUAAAACCCCCAAUUUUCCAAAGGUUGACCUCGGAUCAGGUAGGAAUACCCGCUGAACUUAAGCAUAUCAAUAAGGCGGAGGAA